AAUAUUGGACAAAGGGGGCAACCCUGAUCCAGCCAUGCCGCGUGUGUGAAGAAGGUCUUCGGAUUGUUAAGCACUUUAAGUUGGGAGGAAGGGCUUUAGGUUAAUACCCUGAAGUUUUGACGUGAACAGCAGAAGAAGCCCCGGUUAACCCUGUGCCAGCAGCCUCGGUAACACAGAGGGUGCAAGGGUGAAUCGGAAUUACGGGGGGUAAAGCGCGCGUGGGUGGUGCAGGAGGAUGGGUGUGAACUCCCCGGGCUUAACCUGGAAACUGGUUUCAUAACUGCUGAGCUAGAGUACGGUAGAGGGUAGUGGAAUUUCCUGUGUAGCGGUGAAAUGCGUAGAUAUAGGAAGGAACACCAGUGGCGAAGGCGACUACCUGGACUGAUACUGACACUGAGGUGCGAAAGCGUGGGGAGCAAAC
rnacentral:rRNA from 1 species